rnacentral:lncRNA from 1 species
UAAAGUGUGGAAGUGUGCAGAUACAUACACUUAAGGAACAAUUUGAAAGGAAAAGAAGUGAAAGAUGCCAUUUGUUGGACUGCUUUACAAGUUGUAUUCACAUUUCCAGCAACUACAAACAUAAUUGCAAGCUGAAAUGAUGCAUAACAUGUGUGUGAAAGUGUCUAGCAGCUCGUGCAUGUGUGAAGAGGUGUAAAGUGGCCGAAAGUUGGUGUUUGCAAGAUGAAAUAAUUCAAAACAUGUGUGUGAAAUUUGUCUAACACCUAAUACAUGUGGAAGUGAGCUGGAACACAUAGCAAAGAGUGCAGAAAAUCAAGUUUGAAGGCACAUGGACAGCUGCAAAGGGGUGUUCUAAAUACUUCAGGACACUUAAUUACAUGUUUUUAGAAGGACAAUCCUUGCCACAAAGGAUGCAUCAUCUUACCUUGCUGCACCAUUCCUUGUUCCCUCCAUCAUAUUAGAUUUCAUGCUGUUGGAAAUGUGCCCUAAAACCAAUCAUAUGAUGAUACUUUACGGACAUUUCACAAAGUUAAACUA